AAGGGAAAAUAGGUGGAAAUUCAAAAAUCAAGUGAAAAAAGGUGGUGAGUCAAUUGUUUCGGGUAAGAGACUGCACCCGAGGGCGGAAGAUAGGAGUAUUUCUACUCCUAAUACUGCUCGGGGAAUUCCAUAGUUAGCUGACUUUGACAAGGACU
rnacentral:sRNA from 1 species